CCCCUAGAUGUUCUGGGCCGCACGCGCGCUACACUGAACAGUUCAACAAGUCUUAACCUUGGCCGAUAGGUCUGGGUAAUCUUUGAACGCUGUUCGUGAUUGGGAUAGACCUUUGCAAGUAUGGGUCUUCAACGAGGAAUUCCUAGUAAACGCAAGUCAUCAGCUUGCAUUGAUUACGUCCCUGCCCUUUGUACACACCGCCCGUCGCACCUACCGAUUGAAUGGUCCGGUGAAAUCUCGGGACGGCGGCUUGGUCGCUUGCGUCCGACUGCUGAAACUUGAUUAAACCAUAUCAUUUAGAGGAAGGUGAAGUCGUANCA
rnacentral:rRNA from 1 species